AUUGAACGCUGGCGGAAUGCUUUACACAUGCAAGUCGAACGGUAGAGGGGGCAACCCCUCGAGAGUGGCGAACGGGUGAGUAAUAUAUCGGAACGUGCCCAGUCGUGGGGGAUAACGUAGCGAAAGUUACGCUAAUACAGCAUACGAUCUAAGGAUGAAAGCGGGGGAUCGCAAGACCUCGCGCGAUUGGAGCGGCCGAUAUACGAUUAGGUAGUUGGUGGGGUAAAGGCUCACCAAGCCAACGAUCUGUAGCUGGUGUGAGAGGACGACCAGCCACACUGGAACUGAGACACGGUCCAGACUCCUACGGGAGGCAGCAGUGGGGAAUUUUGGACAAUGGACGCAAGUCUGAUCCAGCCAUUCCGCGUGCAGGAUGAAGGCCCUCGGGUUGUAAACUGCUUUUGUACGGAACGAAAAGGUCUCUCUUAAUACGGGGGACUCAUGACGGUACCGUAAGAAUAAGCACCGGCUAACUACGUGCCAGCCGCCGCCGUAAAAC
rnacentral:rRNA from 1 species